UUAGCUCAGUUGGUAGAGCAUCUGACUUUUAAUCAGAGGGUCGAAGGUUCGAGUCCUUCAUG
rnacentral:tRNA from 1 species